rnacentral:lncRNA from 1 species
GAGAGAAAUUAAUAAGAUAGAAAGUAUAGAGAGAAUGUUGGAGGAGAGAGAAAUUAAUAAGAUAGAAUUUGAUUGAUCAGGCAACACUAUUUAGCAUCUCAAUCGGUUUGAUUAAGAUAAUUUGAUAAAUCAUAAUUGAACUAGUAUAUGGAUGACCUAAUAGAAAUCAUUGAUGAUCAAAUCUAGUAGUACCGAGUCUAACUA